GAUGAACGCUGGCGGCGUGCCUAAUACAUGCAAGUCGAGCGGACAGAUGAUGAUCUUGCUCCUCUGACGUUAGCGGCGGACGGGUGAGUAACACGUGGAUAACCUACCUAUAAGACUGGGAUAACUUCGGGAAACCGGCUCUAAUACCGGAUAAUCUAUUGAACCGCAUGGUUCAAUAGUGAAAGACGGUUUUGCUGUCACUUAUAGAUGGAUCCGCGCCGCAUUAGCUAGUUGGUAAGGUAACGGCUUACCACGGCAACGAUGCGUAGCCGACCUGAGAGGGGGAUCGGCCACACUGGAACUGAGACACGGUCCAGACUCCUAAGGGAGGCAGCAGUAGGGAAUCUGCCGCAAUGGGCGAAAGCCUGACGGAGCAACGCCGCGUGAGUGAUGAAGGCCUUCGGAUCGUAAAACUCUGUUAUUAGGGAAGAACAAAUGUGUAAGUAACUAUGCACGUCUUGACGGUACCUAAUCAGAAAGCCACGGCUAACUACGUG
rnacentral:rRNA from 1 species